rnacentral:rRNA from 1 species
UGGGGAAUAUUGGACAAUGGGCGCAAGCCUGAUCCAGCCAUGCCGCGUGUGUGAAGAAGGCCUUAUGGUUGUAAAGCACUUUAAGCGAGGAGGAGGCUACUUUAGUUAAUACCUAGAGAUAGUGGACGUUACUCGCAGAAUGAGCACCGGCUAACUCUGUGCCAGCAGCCGCGGUAAUACAGAGGGUGCAAGCGUUAAUCGGAUUUACUGGGCGUAAAGCGCGCGUAGGCGGCUAAUUAAGUCAAAUGUGAAAUCCCCGAGCUUAACUUGGGAAUUGCAUCCAAAACUGGCGAGCUAGAGUAGGGCAGAGGGUGGUGGAAUUUCCUGUGUAGCGGUGAAAUGCGUAGAUAUAGGAAGGAACACCAGUGGCGAAGGCGACCACCUGGGCUCAUACUGACACUGAGGUGCGAAAGCGUGGGGAGCAAACAGG